AAUGUUGGCACAGUCGUCUCUCAACAAUUGAGAAUUGCAAAAUGAUGCCUGUGACAGAAGCAGAAUGUUUACGCGCUGCAAGAUUUAUUUACUUGUCCGAAUCAUACUAAAACUUUGUAUCGUGAUUGUGGUUUAUGUUUUCAUUGUGUGUGAUAUCAUUGUCUUAUACCAUAUCUAUGUAAAUAUCUGUAACGAGGCAUUAUGUCAUCCAAAGGUCAUCAUGCAGUAGGUCGUUGAAUUCGUCUCGACGUCGCCUACAAUGCUAUGAGUUUCAGCGCAGAUCACAGUCAGCUGUGGCAACAGCGAACGUUUAUUUAUCGACGGACAUCAUGACUUUCUCAAGUGUACACAAGCGAGGAAUGAAAAAUUCGCCGAAGACCGCGCGCGCACGGGGAGGAAUUUUCGCGUUCCCGAAACGCGAUCCACGUGAUAAACGGUUCAAUCACGCAGAAAUCCCGGCCCCGGAGAAAAGAAGGCGGCGUUGGUUACAAGCCGUGGGUCGGCGCUCCUGAAAAAUAAAACACUGUCGGGUGGCAAGGAUUUUUCUCUCCCGGAAAGUACUCUCAGGUGCGGCAUUCCCGAUCCCAAAGAGGCUUAAACGACAGAACGGACUCUCACUGGAUCGACGUCACCACGCCGGAGAUAAGGUCAGCAACUGGUCCUCGAUGGAAUGGUGAAACCCCAAUAGAGCUCUCCUGCAGUCGACAGAGAACGUUAUGGGACGCUGCGAGGCGAUACAAAUCGGCGGCGAGUUCGCUUUCUCAGAUCCGUAAAGUUGGUCGAUCAGGUUCCAUUCGACUAUCUAUUUUCUAGUUAUUGUUCCGCGACGCGAGGACGCUGCAACAAGGCCACGAUAGUUAUGCAAUGCAUAAAAUAUUGUUAUGAAUGUGAAAUUUUCGGGAUAUUUGCAUUUUUAUGGAAAAAGUUCUACGGUAAUGGUUAGGCUAAAUUUUCUUUUCGUGGCCAUUUGUUUCUGUGAAUUAAAGACGUCUUAAUCGGAUAACUGUGUUCGACCAGUAUACUCGUCAUGGAGAGUGGCAGUAUUUUCUGUUACGACGAGUAUACUCGUCAAACAUAGCUAAUUGGUUAAGCGAACUCUCUAUUUUGAAGGGAGGUCGCUACU